GACGAACGCUGGCGGCGUGCCUAAUACAUGCAAGUUGAACGCAACAAAGACACCAGAGCUUGCUCUACCGUCUUUGUUGAGUAGCGAACGGGUGAGUAACGCGUGGGUAACCUGCCUUAUAGCGGGGGAUAACUAUUGGAAACGAUAGCUAAUACCGCAUAACAAUAGAGAUUGCAUAAUCUUUAUUUGAAAGUGCCAACUGGUACACUAUGAGAUGGACCCGCGUUGUAUUAGCUAGUUGGUAGCGUAAUGGACUACCAAGGCGAUGAUACAUAGCCGACCUGAGAGGGUGAUCGGCCACAUUGGGACUGAGACACGGCCCAAAACUCCUACGGGAGGCAGCAGUAGGGAAUCUUCGGCAAUGGACGAAAGUCUGACCGAGCAACGACCGCGUGAGUGAAGAAGGUUUUCGAUCGUAAAACUCUGUUGUUAGAGAAGAAUGUUGAUUAGAGUGGAAAAUUAAUCAAAGUGACGGUAUCUAA
rnacentral:rRNA from 1 species